rnacentral:rRNA from 1 species
UACGUAGGGUGCGAGCGUUGUCCGGAAUUAUUGGGCGUAAAGAGCUUGUAGGCGGUUUGUCGCGUCUGCCGUGAAAAUCCGGGGCUCAACCCCGGACUUGCGGUGGGUACGGGCAGACUAGAGUGUGGUAGGGGAGACUGGAAUUCCUGGUGUAGCGGUGAAAUGCGCAGAUAUCGGAAGGAACACCAGUGGCGAAAGCGGCUUCCUGGUCCAGCACCGACGUUCAGGCACGAAAGCGUGGGGAGCAAACAGG